AACGAACGCUGGCGGCGCGCCUAAUACAUGCAAGUCGAGCGAGAAGACGUAGCAAUACGUUUGUAAAGCGGCGAACGGGUGAGGAAUACAUGGGUAACCUACCCUCGAGUGGGGAAUAACUAGCCGAAAGGUUAGCUAAUACCGCGUACGCUCCUUGGACUUCGGUUCAGGGAGGAAAGCGAUACCGUGGGUAUCGCGCUCUUGGAUGGGCUCAUGUCCUAUCAGCUUGUUGGUGAGGAACGGCUCACCAAGGCUUCGACGGGUAGCUGGUCUGAGAGGACGAUCAGCCACACUGGCACUGCGACACGGGCCAGACUCCUACGGGGAGGCAGCAGUAAGGAAUAUUGCGCAAUGGGCGAAAGCCUGACGCAGCGACGCCGC
rnacentral:rRNA from 1 species